ensembl:lncRNA
ACCCCCCUCCCAGAACUGCUGAGGGCCUUCAAGGUAUGCAUUACUGCAGGAAAUGGAUCAUGGUCUGGACACCACAGAAAGAACCAUCACCUUUCUAUUGAGCUGUAUUGAUGGCAGUAAUGCAGACAGCAGCCUUAGACUUUGCUUUAGAGCAGUAUCAUUUCAGAACAUAGGUUUGUUUUUUUUUUUUAAGAUAUCAGAGCAUAGCUGUGUUCUGUUCCCAGCUUACAGAUAGCCUAGGUCAUCUAGUUUUAUGACAGAAACAAAGGAGGAAAUAGACAAAUAAUUCUUAAGCAGAACUAGGACUAAAAAUGAUAACCAGCUUACCAGAAGUAAUCUGGGGGAAGUUAACGUCCUGCUUUACGCCUAGACAGCUUACAUCCUUGUAGCUACUGGACAUAUCAAUACAGUAGGAAAAACAUCACAACAAAGGCAUGAUGAUGGAAAAACUAACACAAUAGAAAGAAGCUAUAAAAAAAGGAAGAAGAUUGCUCACCUGUAACAGAAGAUUCUAUGAUUGCAAGGGAAAGCUCCCCAAAGGAGAUCUCCAAAGAGAGAUCUUUCCUCACCAGCAGUCAGCCCUUAAAUGAGGUCUAAGAGAGGUGCAGCCAGGCUCCACCCCUUUUGAUCACACACCUGAAUUGCCUUCAUCUGUGCUCCCAGGGCUGACUGGGUCCUUUCCCCAGGUGCUCAAUCAGUGGUUCAUGCCAUUACUCAGCAGUUCCCAUACAACAAUCAAGGCCAUCAGGAGUUAAAGUUGAUACAACUAAAUACAUGCCAUGCUUUUUGCUUAAAUGUUUCUUGAAUAAAUAAUAUACCCAGUGAAAACUUCUAGAGAAGCAUUAGAAAGAGCUGUUCUAUACCAGGGACUGUACUUUAUCCUUAUGGGUCCCUUCCGACUCAGAAAGUUCUACACUUCUGAUUUAUUUAUUUGUUUAUUUUGUACAGAAGGAAAAGCCUACUUGUCUGUUUUUCUGUGAUUGUGUUGUUGGCUUCUGUUUUAUUUUUUUCUUGCUAUAUUUCUCAACUCCGCCCUUCCCCGCCCCUCCCCUGCAACAUGUGCAUUUCAGUGAGUCUGAAAUCUCGAAGGAAUCAGAUAACCCUUCUGUUACUCCAGCUGUUGAUGGGAAUUCAUGGUCUGCAUGUCUGAGUUACGCAGCCACCUCCACCGAGGACAGUUCCAUCUUCUCUCAGGGCUAUGACGUGACACCAUUUCCAAGUGUUUCUUGUAACUUGAAACCUGAUAAUGGGUAGGAAAAUGGAAAAGAGUCAUCUCCGCUUUUGGCACUCGAGGUUUCUGUUUUGCCAGUCACCUUCCUUGUUUUUCUUCUUUGCCUCUCAUUCUGUGUUUUCAGUUAAAAAACAGUGAAGUAAAAUCUUUGGGAGAGAUCUUUCAGUAUCUCGUAUUCGAUCUUUUCCACUGAGAAAGAAAUCUACCUGGUUGUGAUCACUGGAUGAUUUCUGGGUUUUUGUUUUGUUUUGUUUUGUUUUUUGCUUUUUUGUUUUGUUUUGUUUUUUAAUACAUGUACACAAUAGGAAGAUGGUAAAAAUCCUCAGGAUGUAGAAGAAGAGCAGAGCAUCUUUUGGAGAGCACUGGUAGAUGAACUGCUCCAGUUGUCUCUGUAAGGACGAUAUUGUACUGCUCUCCUCAGGGCAAAGUUCUGCCUGAAAAGAUUUCUUGAACACUAAAAUAUGUUGUUCAGGAAUUGCUGUUAAUUUUACUUGCUGGCAAUCCUUUCUAUAGCAAUUACUAUGGCCAUAGCAGUCCUCUGUACAUCACCUUUAUAUCUGUUCUUGAUGCUGAAGCUUUGAUUGUGAGUGCCAAUAACAUACACACAAAGUCUGUUAUGAGCUUCCUUCCUCUCAGAACUCCCUUGUAUUCACAAAUACAAAUUAAGGGAGAGCCAUGUUGCUCCUAUCCAAACUGCCUAUCCCUGACACACCCAGCUGAAGCUGUCUCGAGCUCAGUGUUUCAGGAAGGAAUUUCAAUUUUUCAUAAAAUUUCUUUACUAUUUUUAGCAUUAAUCGCGUGGACAUCAGCAACACUUCUGUGAACCUGUCCUCCUUUUUGACUCAGACCUGCCUCAGAAGCUUAGAGUUUUCCAAACUAUUACUAAGUGUUGCAGGCACUUUCCAAGUAAUACAUAAGAUCAGUGUGAUGUUUAUUCAUGUUUCCCCCGUGUUCCAGAAAGACCUCUGUAGUGAUCUUUAAAGCAAAACCUGUUGUAGUACGUCCAAUUCUACCUCUAGUUCCCUAUUUCUGUUGUCAAACCAGGUUGUUAAACUAUGAGUGAGGGUGAGUUUCUCCUAAUUUGCUCCACGCUCCCUGCAUGUUGACUUUAUUGGGACUUUUGCUUAUGGAGGUCUUUCAUUGCUGGGAGUUCCCUGGCAUAGCAUUUGCACGGUCAUCAAGGCAAGGUGUAUACUGACGCUAAGGACACUGGGCUGGCGGCAGAGCACAGGCCAUUUCUCAUACUAUUUGGACUAUUUGGACUAUUAUAGGGUGUAACUUUUGGACUAUUCUCUGGCAGAUGUAAUGAAGAGAAUUAUGUUUCAAGUUGCACGUUGUUCACCAUCAGGAUUUCAAUGUGAAUAAUAAUAGGCACUUGUAGUUCACAUGUAGCUUCAUUUCUAAAAUAGGAAAUAGUAUUUUCCUUAGAGAAAAUCACCAGAAUGGUGAAGGUAAGUUCCGAUUAAAUAGGUUAAUUAGGUUAAUAGGUUAGACAGAGCAAAGAUCAACAAAACUCAAUUAUUGAAGUUUCAAGACCAACAGAAAGAAGUAUUGGCAGAGAUUUUAAAGUACUAGUGUCUAGUCUCUGCGUGGUUUGGAACAGGUUCAGCUUCAGAAGAUAAUCUGAGAAAUGAGUAGAUGCAAAGGGCAGUCCUUAAUGUUGUAAUGCAGCAAUUCAGGUUCUUCUGAGGAACCUUUCACUUCUCAGGAACGGGAAUGGUGCUCACUUCUGAACUCAACUUUCUCAUUCAGAGUCUUUUCCCUACCUUUGGAGGGGUAUUCAGAGGGUUUUCCUAAAUGACACUAAUACAUCCAAAGGGCUGAAAAUGAGCAAGCGUAAUUGUCCUUUUAUCUUUCAUGUGCUGUCAUCCUAACACAAAUCCACUGGAAUUUUGGCAGCUUUUUGUUGUUGUUGUUGUUGAGAUGACACCACCAGUCUUCUGGAGAAUUUCAAAGCAUUUAAACUGAUAUAUUUCACAAGUAAUCACAGCUGCCUUGCCCUUCCUAAAACUUACAUAAAGAUUUUAAAAGAGUAUACGUAGCUCUGCAUGUUUUUGAAACAAAAUAAAGUUUAUUAUAGUUAAAGUGGAGACGUAGCGUGGGCUUUAGCUCCAAUUGCAUCAUUAGUCCUGCCUACAUUAUUCAAUAUACUUCAGUUGUCAUACGUAUGUUGCAAAACCUGAAGUGUGCAGGGAACAAAUCUGGCCAUUAAAUUUACAUAACGCAUAGUGACAUUUCUCUGGACUGCGGGCAAACACAGGAAAAACAAAACUUACACUUCAGAAAGCCAUCUACAAAUGCAAGGAAAAAAUAGAUUAAGCACAAGGACUGUACUGUAAGAACUAGUGAGGAAAAUCUUUUACUCCAUUUUUAGGCAAGGUUUAUUGCAGGUAACUGGACAGUAGAGUGUAAAAAGCUGAAAUACCAGCUUGGAGUUUUAUAAUGUUUGUGGUAGGAAAAAGAUAAAAAGCUUUAAGACAUUAUUUGAGGUUGAUUAAACAUGUCAACAGUGUGGAGGAAAAGAGCGCAAAGCCCUUAUAAGUGCAAACAUAAAAUAUUACAAGUGUUAUGGUAUUAGAUAAAAUAAAACAUAAAAAUAAUUUCAGGUCUGCAUCCUGGCUACUAAAACUGCACUUAUUUUCCAUUUGCAAUACUAUCAUUUAAGGAUAUAAAGACUUAUAUUUUAAGGGAGAUUAAGCAGGAUACAACAGGAAGUCAAGCACUAAACAGUUGUGAUACCGUAUUGUUGUUUAAAAGAGGGAUUAAGUAGCAUAGAGGAAAGGCUAAGUCAGGGCUUAAACCAGUGAUUGAGCACCUGGUGGGAAGGCAGGGCCAACCCAGGGGAGCUCAGGUGCAUGUAAUGUAGCUAAAUGACUGGGAGUGGUGGACCCGGGAUAUACCCCUUCCCAGCCCUCAUUUAAGGGUUGGCAGUGGAAGGAUGGGUAUCUCUUGUUGGAGGUCCCUGUGAAUCUAUAGUCUUCUGAAGGUGUAAAAGAGAUGUUGAAAUAUUGUCUACAAUGAAGAGAAAUUACCUGGACACCUUUCAGCAGAAGUUGCUGUGUGCAAGCUGAUGUCUUUUUCCUUUUACAAAGGAUUUUAACAACCUUGUUGCAUAGGACUUAAAGAAAUCAAAUGGCUUCUUGUGCUGUGAAUGUACGAGGCUGCCAAGCAGAGAGCACAUGAAAAAGUAAUUGUUUGUUUGAAUGGUGUGGCACGAUACCGCAGUUCUUCAAAGCAUUAUGUGCACAGUACAGAUACAGAUGUCCUGAGUGCUUCACCUCAUUCACCCAACUGCACUUGCAGAUGUCCUUGGAAUGAGGAACACUUCAAAGAUUCAAGUCCAAGUUUCAAGUUCAAUGUGGUUGUUGAAGAGCACCAGUGUUUAAGCACUUUACUUCAGGCCUCUCUUCGGUUCUGAAAACAUCAGAUAACAGCUGCAAGCUUUAAAAAGCAGCUGGAUAUAAGUGAUGUACCCUAUAAUCUGUUCAAAGCCUUUUGUACUGUAACACUUUGUCUUUGAAACCAAUAAUCUCUUUUUUUUUUUGUUUCAAACUUUUUGAUGGAUUAUGUUUCUUGGAAUUGCCCAGACUCUCCAAACUGAGGUUUGUUUUGAGGAACUGUAGGGGCUGGGUUUUAAUUUGUCCCAGUUUUCUCCUCUUGCUGUAUUAUGCAAGCUUCUCAUUUUGUGUUUAUACCAUUAAGAUAUUGCUUAGGAAUACUAUUACUUGAAUAGUUCUGGAGAUCAAAUUGCCCAUGGAAAUACCACAUGUGAUAAUGCUGUUAUACUCUGAUUAUAUUAUAUGCUAUUGUGUAUUGUAAUUAGACAUAUUUUAAAAUAGUAUCCCCGAAGGCCAAUGAAAUCAUGUAAUUCAGAACUACUAGGUUAUCCUAAGCAGUCUGAAGGUUCUGGAUGAGUAGACGAGCUCCUGGAAGUCAGUUUUGUGGGAGACCUAUUGGACAACCCUGUGGAGAAAGCUGCUGGCAGCUACUACUGUCUGGGAAAUUGGUUAUAUAAUGUGUGAUGGAGUUUAAAGGGCCCAAGGGGAGCAUUUUGUUAAUGAUAGGGAAUAAAACUGCCCAUAGGAAUACUGAGGAGCUGGAGGUAGGAAGCGGUUCCAGUGUUGAGAAUGUUUUGUCGUAGUUCUGACUGUAAGUCUUCUCUCAGGAAGAGAGGUGGAGUGGUUGGAUAUGUUUGUAGCUGCAUGCUGUUAUCUAAAACUACUUGUAUUAUGUAGAAAAUACUUUGAAGCAAUUUCUAUGAAGUUAUGUGUUAAGCAUUGUUAUUAAUUGUAAGCAGUUGUUUGUAAUGCUUUGAACUAAGUAAAAUCACCUUCAGGUGAUUUUUCUUUUUUUUCCCCUCUAGUAUUAUCCUCACUAGUAUUGCUUCUGCACAUCCUUAAUGGUACUAUGCUGAUACAACCUAUCUGAAUAAAGUGAAAUAAUGCUUCCUUUGCAGUGUUCAGAGUGCAGGCCUUAAUCAUCCUUAAUUUUUAAGUCUAAUCCUCAAGUUAGAACAAGUGUUUUUUUAUCUUCUUGAGCAACAGAUAAGCUUCUUGUAGAACCACUAUUGCUGAAUGAGAAAUACCACCCUGGAUGUUUUGCAGCCCUCUCAGGGUGACUGAGGAAACUGUUAAAGACAUGGAAGUGGAUUGCUACUUGUGGCAUACUAGCAUGUAACAUCGAUCUGUAACAGUAACUCCAUCACUAAAAAUCUUGGCAGGAAUGGUUGUGGUAACUGAAGCGUAAUGUAAAUGUAUCAAAAUGAUAGGAAUUAAUUUUGAAUUACACUUUCAUUUAGUUUUGUUCUAAUAACUUAAUUUUACUAGUAAAGAGUUUAAAACUAAGAACUUCAAGGCACGUCUUCACAAGUUUGUUCUUGAAACUUGGGGAAAUAAUCUCCGUGCUCCUGAUCUGUGUAGGAGUUCUUGCAUGAGGAGUAGUGGAUUGAGUUCCCCCAGGUUUAAUGCCAGAGUUAACUGAAAGCCCAGAGACAAAAGCUUUGUCGUUGUUUCUGAAGCUGCACUUCUGAUUCAUUCUGUUCUCUAAUUCCCUGUGUCUUGAGAAUGCUGAUCCCAGAUCAGAAUAUGAGCUUGAAAAUGCUGUAAUAUUAAAAUUACAGUUGAGAUAGUGGAUAUAUUUCUGCUCCAUCUAUAGUGUCCAAGACUACGAGGCUGUUUUUUUUUCCAACCCACUAUAGUAAGAUAAUUCAGCAGAAAC